UCUGGUCUCUCCCACGGCCCAUAGGGAGCACGGAGGAGCCCAGCCUAUGUUUAUAAGAACAUAGCUUGAUGAGCAGGGACAGCAAUCUAGUGAUGCCAGAGAUGGAGAGGACCAAAUAGAAGCCGCAGACCAGGGGAUCAUGCACCUAUUGAUGUCUGAAUCACCUUGUUGAAAGUCUCCUCUCUGAGGACAAGAUUGGAAAAUUCUAGAUAAAGAAAUAUGUCAGAAGCUCUGCAUAAACAAACCACUCCGAGCAUUAAGACUGAUGUCAGUUGUUGGAAUAAACGUUGAACAAAUUCUUCAGACGCUGACCAAAGCCCUAUGUUGAAACUCCAACUCCUUACUGCUCAUUGCCAUUGCCAAACUCAGUCACUCACUAUGACCCUCAUCUUGAUAGGCAGGACAAGGCGGCUUCCAAAAUCAGACAGCCUUGUCUGGACAAACAGUUCCAGGAGGGAGAAACUGCAGGCUUGCACGUAGCCCUAGCCUUUGCAUUCCCCAAACCUCCUAUAUGAAUCCCAAGUUCCCCUUCUCCUUUGGGAAACACCCAUUUCUAACUGUGUCUGCCCCAUAAUGUUUGAGAUAAA